GCCGCAGACCGCCUUAUCGUCCCGCUUCAGUUGGGGAGGAAAGUCCGGACACCAUAGAGAAGCAUAGCGGGUAAUGCCCGUCAUCCCGAGCAAUCAGGAGAGGACAAGUGCAACAGAAAGUAUGUACAGGUAAUGCUGUAGUGAAACCAGGUAAACUCUAUGCGGUGAAAUUUCAAGUAUAUCGGCAUUUAAGGGCUUCUCGUCCGUUGUCGAAGGGUAGAAAGAUGGAGUACGUGAGUAAUUGCGUGCCUAGAUAAAUGAUAAGGCCACGCUCAAGCGUGGACAGAAUCCGGCUUAUAGGUCUGCUUUUUUU
rnacentral:RNase_P_RNA from 1 species